UACGAAGGGGGCUAGCGUUGCUCGGAAUCACGGGGCGUAAAGGGUGCGUAGGCGGGUCUUUAAGUCAGGGGUGAAAUCCUGGAGCUCAACUCCAGAACUGCCUUUGAUACUGAGGAUCUUGAGUUCGGGAGAGGUGAGUGGAACUGCGAGUGUAGAGGUGAAAUUCGUAGAUAUUCGCAAGAACACCAGUGGCGAAGGCGGCUCACUGGCCCGAUACUGACGCUGAGGCACGAAAGCCAGGGGAGCAAACGGG
rnacentral:rRNA from 1 species